UGAGUAUUUCCAUAAAAUUUGUAAAUGAGUAUUUCUACAGUGUAUUAAUUUGACAAGUAGUUUGUUUUUUACUUAUUUGGUUUUAUUUUCAACCUCUUCUUAAAAUUGACAAAUUCCUCAUCUGAUUUAUAAAUCCAUUUUACCAUUUGUGUUCUGUUUUCCUCAAUGCUAGAUGUAAAAUCUCAACGUUAGCAUGAUUGCUCUACAUGAUGAUCUUUAUUUUUGCUAUUUGGAUCUUGAUCCAAUGAAGCUUUAUAGUCAUAGUUACACUGAUAGAGCAUCAUGGUAUUUUCCUGCUCUCCCAUUGUUGUUGAUCAUUAUCAUGAUGUAAGUUUGAUCUUUCCAUCAAACUUGUAACACGUCGUGCAAUAUAUGACAAUAGCAGCAAAAGAGGCUGGUCCAAUAUCUCUUUUUCCUGAAAUGUUUUUUCUUUCUUUGAUUUAAGCAAAGCAUUGCUUAAUUUAACAAUGUAAUCUACCAGAAUAAUAAGAUGGGUGAUUCAUGCUCAUGUGCUCACAUUUUGAUUUUUUGUAGUGUUUAUAGGCAAUCUACACGGUCACCUAUAUCUAGCUUAAGACAUUUCCUGUUACUGAACUGAAAAUUGCUUGCUUGUUUGAUUGGACUCAAGUAUAUUUGUUCUUAUCCAAGUGAACAUACUUCCUUUUGCAGGAUAGAAUACCAACUUCCUAAUCUCAUUGUAAAAUUUUUUAUUAUUGUUGAAGUAAUCAAGUAUCUAACUUUAUUAUUUUCUGUUAAUUUUUUUAUGGUUUUGGCCUAAAAUUGUAGUGUCAACGUGUUCAUACACAUAUUGGAGUGUCGUGGACGAAACGAGUAUUUAAGGUUGUUAUGACAUUCUUUACGUGACACAGGAGUGGCUUCACUUUUCCAGUGGACUCGCAUCAAAAUAAAAGGCUUCAACCACAAAGCAUCUCUUCCUCUCAUGGAAGAUUCCUCUGGGGGUUGUUUUAGCGAUGCCACCCUUUCACUAUCCCGUCAACCUUGCUGUCUCAAACAUUGCGCCUGCACUUAUUGCUGGAAACUCCCUUGUGCUAAAGCCUCCAAUACAGGACUUAUUAGCUAUAUCACUGGCAAGGGCUUUUAAAUUGGUGAUUUCCUGACAUUGUACCCAGGGCUAAAUUGCAUAAGGAGAGAAGAAGAAACAUUUAGGGUUUCGUCGGGCCAAGGAUGAUGAUUGUAGACUGUCGAGGAAGCAUUUGCCGAGUGGUCUUAUGGAUAUUCACAAAUCUAAGUCAGCUUAGCUUUUUGUUGGCAAGCUGUUGUGUUUGUCUUCCCAGUUCAUAACAUCUUCAAUGUCAAGGUACAAACCUCAAGAGGAGCACUUCGCAUCACCCACAAACACGAUGUCAAUGUACAAACCUCAGGUUGCAGCAUUGUUGUGGCUGAUUUCGUGUAUUGGUAGUUCUCUGUUUCUUUGGCUGGUAUGUUUUGGGUUUAGGUUAAUGUUUUUGUGGCCUUUUAAAUUUAGAAUAGAUCAUGUUCUGUAUUGCAUUUCUUUUCGCGAUGGUUGUGAUCUUGUGCAUGAUGGAUUCUGAAUAAAGCUCGUGAGGGUGCUAUAAGAAUGUGGACUCCUGGUUUGUGGUUGGGGUUCAAGUGUUAGUGAGGAGUCUUAUGAUGUUGAUCAUUUUCUAUUUUGAGGGUUGAUGUUCUAAUUAUAGUGCUUCCCAAAAGAUCUUAUUAAUACUUAGGUAAGUUAGGUUGUAAUUUAGUUUCUUAAUUGCUAUAUUUCAUGAUAUUCAUCCUAUGACUUGUGGACUGUGGCAUAUGUUAGCUAGGCCAUUGCUACAAGCCUACAACUAUAUAAAUUUUGAAUAAAAGGUUUUAGGCGUGUUUUUUUUACAUCCCAUAAUUGAUUUAACGAAUAAUAGAUCAAAAAUACUUAUAUAAGGUUAUCCAAUAUUUUAUUAUUAUCAUCAUCAGUGGUAGUAGUCUUUGUCUUAGAAGUAAUUUGCUUCAUUUGAACGGUCCAAAUUAGAUGGAUAGAAUAAUUUUUCUUUUGAAUGAACACUUCUUUCCUUGCUCUAAA